rnacentral:rRNA from 1 species
UACGUAGGGUGCAAGCGUUGUCCGGAAUUAUUGGGCGUAAAGAGCUCGUAGGCGGUCUGUCGCGUCGGCUGUGAAAACUCGGGGCUCAACCCCGGGCCUGCAGCCGAUACGGGCAAGCUAGAGUUCGGUAGGGGAGACUGGAAUUCCUGGUGUAGCGGUGAAAUGCGCAGAUAUCAGGAGGAACACCGGUGGCGAAGGCGGGUCUCUGGGCCGAUACUGACGCUGAGGAGCGAAAGCGUGGGGAGCGAACAGG